GCCUUCUUGGUGUAACGGUAGCACACUCGGCGCGUAUUCGAGAUGUCCAGCUUCGAGUCCCGGCGAGGGCA
rfam:Stegodyphus mimosarum contig112368, whole genome shotgun sequence.